UACGUAGGGUGCGAGCGUUAAUCGGAAUUACUGGGCGUAAAGCGUGCGCAGGCGGUUUUGUAAGCCAGAUGUGAAAUCCCCGGGCUUAACCUGGGAAUGGCAUUUGGGACUGCAAGGCUCGAGUGCGGCAGAGGAGACUGGAAUUCCUGGUGUAGCAGUGAAAUGCGUAGAUAUCAGGAGGAACACCGAUGGCGAAGGCAGGUCUCUGGCCUGCACUGACGCUCAUGCACGAAAGCGUGGGGAGCAAACAGG
rnacentral:rRNA from 1 species